GACGAACGCUGGCGGCGUGCUUAACACAUGCAAGUCGAACGAAGUGGCGAACGGGUGAGUAACGCGUAAUCAACCUGCCCUUCAGAGGGGGACAACAGUUGGAAACGACUGCUAAUACCGCAUACUGAAGGAGUGGAUUGCGUCUGAUUAGCUAGUUGGGGGGGUAACGGCACACCAAGGGGAUGAUCAGUAGCCGGGCCGAGAGGGGGAACGGCCACAUUGGGACUGAGAAAAGGCCCAGACUCCUACGGGAGGCAGCAGUGGGGAAUCAUCCGAAAUGGACGAAAGGCUGACGGCGCAACGCCGGGGGGGUGAUGACGGCCGUCGGGUUGUAAAGCUCUGUUAAUCGGGACGCGGUACCGGAAUAGAAAGCCACGGCUAACUACGUGCCAGCAGCCGCGGUAAUAC
rnacentral:rRNA from 1 species